rnacentral:tRNA from 1 species
AGGGGAGUAGCUCAAUUGGUAGAGUGGCGGUCUCCAAAACCGUUGGUUGCGGGUUCGAGUCCUGUCUCCCCUGCCA